AAAAUGGGGAGAGAUUGUGUAUCCCUGGCAUCACUGGACUGUUAGUAGCUAUUGCAUUUAUAGCAUUUAUCCCAGAACCUGAAACACAGUAAAUGCUCAGUAAGUGUUAUUAUUUGCCCCAAACUGUCUUAGUGCUUUCCCCAAGAGCUUUGUGUUGUUUGUACUAUGAGGAAUAAUGAGGGUGGUGUGGGAGUCGGCCUCUGUGUCUGCAGAGAGGACCACAGGCCACAGGAAUAGAGACAGGUAGAUAGGAUCAAGGUGACAGGAACAGAUGUUCAGAGUAAGAGAUGAGGUCACCAUCAUCAACCCAGACAAGCCAGUUGGAGGCAUCUGUCCACCCAUGUGGUUCCAGACACGUUCAUGUGGCCACCAAGACCCCGUCGGCAUCACAGGAGUAACCAAGGUCCACAGAGCCAGGGGAAAGGGUCACUGUGGAUCAAGCCAGGCUCCUCUGAGCAGUCCAGGGUCUAUUUACAGAGAGCAGCAAGUUCCUGGGACAGAGGAGAGAGAAGGGAAUUUCCAGGUUCUUCAGGACGUUCACAACCACACUGAGAAGCAUCUUUGCAGAUAAGUAUUUAAACUUACC
rnacentral:lncRNA from 1 species